UGUAUUAGGUAUUACACGUCAUCCAGAGAUGGCUUACAGCAUGCAGGGAGAUGGACACAGGUUUUAGGCAAAUAUGACACUAUUUAUAGAAGGGGCUUGAGUAUGCAGAUUUGCUAUCCUUGAAAGAUCCCAGAACAAGUCCCGUGCAGAAACAGAGAGGGGAUUGCGUUCGCUCUUUUGCAAACAGCUUUCUCGUCAAUGAUCUACUUUAAAUUUUCUUCCUUAAAUUUUGAGUAUUUUUUUCUUUUGUAAUUCUGGGGACCAAAACCAGGACCUGGUGCAUGGUAAGCAAGUGCUCUGUCACCAAGCUAUACCCUCAGCCCUAUGGCCUGCUUCUACUCUACAACUACUCAGGGAGGUGAAUUCCUCCCACUCCCUCCGAUGACCUUGUGGCUCAGAGUCUGAGUCACUCUUCUACGUCCACGCAACUAAACAGGCUGGAGACCCUGAGUGGAACUUGGCUCCCCGAUUCCCACCACAAGUGGUUCACAGGACACAAGAAGUGCCGCGACAGAGCACCAAGUGUGCAAGAUCUACAAGGACACCGACGCAGGUGCAGCGUGUUUGGUGGACCCAGUCUCUGGAAGAGAAGCGUUCAGCUGUAUUAAGUGUGUUUUUCUCUCCAACUCCUGGAGUAACAUCCUGCCCUACUGUACAGAAUGAAUGAAUUGUGAGAGCUGGACUGUGA